UACGGGGGGGGGCAAGCGUUGUUCGGAAUCAUUGGGCGUAAAGCGCGCGUAGGCGCCUGGUAAGUCCGCUGUGAAAGUCAAAGGCUCAACCUUUGAAUGUCAGCGGAUACUGCCAGGCUAGAGUCCGGAAGAGGCGAGUGGAAUUCCUGGUGUAGCGGUGAAAUGCGCAGAUAUCAGGAGGAACACCGGUGGCGAAGGCGGGUCUCUGGGCCGUAACUGACGCUGAGGAGCGAAAGCAUGGGGAGCGAACAGG
rnacentral:rRNA from 1 species